UCUCCAGCUGUUUUUUGACUACAACUCCCAUCCCUGGCUAGUAGGACAAGUGGUCAGGAGUGAUGGGAAUUGUAGUCCAAAAACAGCUGGAGA